UGGCGGUGAGGACAAUCUCUGAGAAGACCUUUGAACCUCUCCCAUGCUUGAUACAAAUUUUUGCCAUUUUUCUGCCUUAAUGACAUGAUCUCCCUUCGGAGUCG